rnacentral:rRNA from 1 species
GACGAACGCUGGCGGCGUGCUUAACACAUGCAAGUCGAACGGAAAGGCCCUGCUUUUGUGGGGUGCUCGAGUGGCGAACGGGUGAGUAACACGUGAGUAACCUGCCCUUGACUUUGGGAUAACUUCAGGAAACUGGGGCUAAUACCGGAUAGGAGCUCCUGCUGCAUGGUGGGGGUUGGAAAGUUUCGGCGGUUGGGGAUGGACUCGCGGCUUAUCAGCUUGUUGGUGGGGUAGUGGCUUACCAAGGCUUUGACGGGUAGCCGGCCUGAGAGGGUGACCGGCCACCUUGGGACUGAGAUACGGCCCAGACUCCUACGGGAGGCAGCAGUGGGGAAUAUUGCACAAUGGGCGGAAGCCUGAUGCAGCAACGCCGCGUGCGGGAUGACGGCCUUCGGGUUGUAAACCGCUUUCGCCUGUGCCGAAGCGUGAGUGACGGUAAUGGGUAAAGAAGCACCGGCUAACUACGUG